UUGAUAAAGCAACACAACAUGGCAAGGAAGAUAAGCAGCAAGUUAAAGAAGACCUGCAGGGAGAAGCAGAUGACGCAGAAGACUGGAUACAGAGAUUUUUGUGACUAGAAGACUGCUCCAGAUGCUCAAUAUGCAGAGUCUGAAGAAAGCUAGCUAAUAUAGCAUGGAAUAGUCACUGCCUACCCUGGCUGCAGGAAUAUCGUGAUGGGUGAUGGCCAGCCCGGGAUGCUGUGGGGCUUGUGGACAAGGGACUGCACUUCCUUCCAGCGGGGGAUUGGCGAGGCAGCCACACGGUAUGGUGGGCCUGACCUGAGAUCCUGCUGCCCUGUGGUUUUUACCUUUUCCUUUUUUUUUCCUCUUAAUUUUUUUUCCCUUCAGCACUGUGACCAGGGCUUGCUCCUCUGCCACUCGGGAGCCCAGAGCCGGUGUGUGCUGUGCCAGGACCCUGGCCGAACACUCCUCACCAGUGAUCUGUGCCAAGGAGUGAUCCCCCAUCCAGACCCUGCAGUUUCUUGUCACUGCUUUGGACAUUUUGCUACACUUUAGCCCAACACCCAUUGUCCACCAGGACCCUCCCCUGCUUCUGCUUCUGCCACUGCUUGGGGCUUAGUGCUACAAUUCGAUUUACCACCCUGGGGGGGUCUCUGCCAUUCCAGCCUGCCGCUCUGAGGUUCCUGCUGCAGCCCAUUUUGCCACGCGGAGGGGCACCGUGCUCGGCUGCCGAGGGUUUGUGAAGAAGCAGAGCCUC